GCUUCUUGAUCAUCAUGGUCGUGCCUUCCCAGUGAGUCUUCGCUUAAACGGACGCGGUAAACGUGCUAAGGUAGCUAAAUUACGGCCUAUUAAUUGUAGGUCCUGUGAAUGGUUUGACGAGCCCUCAACUGUCUCUAGUUUAUUUUGGUGAACUUGAAUUGGAUGUGCAAAUGCUUCCGUGGGUGAGAAAGACGAGAAGACCCCGUGAAGCUAGAAAUUCAGGUUAGGGGGGGCUGAUUUUGGCUGGGGCAGCGAAAGAGCAAGACUAGCCUCUUUUAAGCGGGUGCGCGACGACCCACAAUACUGUGAUUAUCAGAAGAAGUUACUCCGGGGAUAACAGCGUAAUCCCCCCGAUAGUCCUUAUAGACGGGUGGGUUUGCGACCUCGAUGUUGCUCUGGAUAUCCUUAGGCUUGAGGCGGUCUUUAAGGUUGGUUUGUUCGCCCAUAAAAAUCC
rnacentral:rRNA from 1 species